rnacentral:rRNA from 1 species
AUUGAACGCUGGCGGCAGGCCUAACACAUGCAAGUCGAACGAGUGGCGGACGGGUGAGUAAUGUCUGGGAAACUGCCUGAUGGAGGGGGAUAACUACUGGAAACGGUAGCUAAUACCGCAUACCAUCGGAUGUGCCCAGAUGGGAUUAGCUAGUAGGUGGGGUAAAGGCUCACCUAGGCCACGAUCCCUAGCGGGUCUGAGAGGAUGACCAGCCACACUGGAACUGAGACACGGACAAGACUCCUACGGGAGGCAGAGGUGGGGAAUAUGGAACAAUUGGCGUAAGCCUGAUGCAGCCAUGCCGCGUGUAUGAAGAAGGCCUGCGGGUUGGAAAGUACUUUCAGCGGGGAGGCGUUACCCGCAGAAGAAGCACCGGCUAACUCCGUGCCAGAAGCCGCGGUAAUAC